rnacentral:rRNA from 1 species
UACGUAGGUGGCAAGCGUUAUCCGGAUUUAUUGGGUGUAAAGGGUGUGUAGGCGGGUUUUCAAGUCAGAUGUGAAAACUCGAGGCUCAACCUCGAGACUGCAUUUGAAACUGAAGAUCUUGAGAGUCGGAGGGGUAGAUGGAAUUCCUGGUGUAGCGGUGAAAUGCGCAGAUAUCAGGAGGAACACCGGUGGCGAAGGCGAUCUACUGGACGACAACUGACGCUGAGACACGAAAGCGUGGGGAG